rnacentral:rRNA from 1 species
UCUUUUCCUUUUUUGCCCGCCGCCGCGGUAAAACGUAGGUCACAAGCGUUGUCCGGAAUUACUGGGUGUAAAGGGAGCGCAGGCGGGAAGACAAGUUGGAAGUUAAAUCUAUGGGCUCAACCCAUAAACUGCUUUCAAAACUGUUUUUCUUGAGUAGUGCAGAGGUAGGCGGAAUUCCCGGUGUAGCGGUGGAAUGCGUAGAUAUCGGGAGGAACACCAGUGGCGAAGGCGGCCUACUGGGCACCAACUGACGCUGAGGCUCGAAAGUGUGGGUAGCAAACAGG